rnacentral:tRNA from 1 species
GUCUUUCUAGUAUCAGGUAAGUAUAAGUGACUUCCAAUCACCCGGUCUUGGUUAAAGUCCAAGGAAAGAUA